CCCGACUGCUAUUUGGGUGAGGAUAAGCCAUGCGAGUUGAAUGGGAAACCUAAAGUUCCCAUGGCAAACUGCUCAGUAACACAUGAUCAACUUACCCUAUAGAGAAAAAUAACCUCGGGAAACUGAGGAUAAUGUUUCAUAGUUGAAUUGGCUUGGAAAAGUUUUUCGACGAAAGGGGUAAAAAAAAUGGUUUUUAUCUGCUAUAGGAUAGGAUCGUGUUCGAUUAUGGUUGUUGGUGAGGUAAUGGCUCACCAAGCCGAUAGUCGAUAGGGGCCGUGAGAGCGGGAGCCCCGAGAUGGGUACUGAGACAACGACCCAGGCCUUACGAGGCGCAGCAGGCGCGAAACCUCCGCAAUACACGAAAGUGUGACGGGGUUACCCAAAGUGUUCAAUAGAACUGUGGUAGGUGAGUAAUGUUCCCUACUAGAAAGGAGAGGGCAAGGCUGGUGCCGGCCGCCGCGGUAAAACCAGCUCUUCAAGUGGUCGGGAUAAUAUUGGGCUUAAAGUGUCCGUAGCCGGUUUAGUAAGUUCCUGGUAAAAUCGGGUAGCUUAACUAUCUAUAUGCUAGGAAUACUACUAUACUAGAGGGCGGGAGAGGUCUGAGGUACUGCAGGGGUAGGGGUGAAAUCUUAUAAUCCUUGUUGGACCACCAGUGGCGAAGGCGUCAGACUGGAACGCGCCUGACGGUGAGGGACGAAAGCCAGGGGAGCGAACCGGAUUAGAUACCCGGGUAGUCCUGGCCGUAAACGAUGCAUACUAGGUGAUGGCACGGCCAUGAGCCGUGUCAGUGCCGUAGGGAAACCGUUAAGUGUGCCGCCUGGGAAGUACGGUCGCAAGGCUAAAACUUAAAGGAAUUGGCGGGGGAGCACCAUCAAGGGGUGAAGCUUGCGGUUCA
rnacentral:rRNA from 1 species